UUACCUUGCACACCUGUAGUCCCAGCUACUCGAGAGACUGCAUAUUCAGCUUCAGAUUUAAUUUUCUAAGACCCAAAUUGGCAAAGACUGAUGUCAGAUUCUAGCCAAUUAAAAAAAAAGUGAUCAAACUAAGUAAUUAAGAGGGAAAGGACAUAAAACAGUCUGUUUAUCUGAUGCUUGUUCUGUAUUUUUUUUACAGAAGUACUCUCCCUGUCUAUUAGGAUCUUAAGAUUGGCUCUAACCCCCAUCUGAGGAAAGUUCAGUGUUGUUCUCAAAGUUUCUUCAGAUUCUCGAGACUCUGGGAAAACUUUGGUUCUAUGGCUUGCUGCCUCCAACAAGAAUCAUCUUGAUAUUCAAAGCAUGCUCCUCUUUAAUUCACACUAAUUCAGACUUGAAAUUCAUCGAUUCCCCGUAAUUUCCAUAAAAAAUCA
rnacentral:lncRNA from 1 species